rnacentral:lncRNA from 1 species
CCGCUCCUCACGCCCCGGGCUGCGGGCGGCGGCCGGAAGCGCUGCCGAGCUAGCUCCGCCCCGCACUGCCGUCGCAGCGGAAAUGGCGUCACACAGCGCGACGGGCGUUGCUAGGCAACCGGGCGCCCGCGCCGGCUUACAACAAUUAACGCGCUCAUCCUUUAUUUAUCUGUUCACAUCAGUCCUGAGAGAGCACGCUGAGGGGACAGCGCAUCUUUAUUAAAAAACCCGCAGUGACGUGCAGUGACAGCACGGCACCUGCGCACAUAUACAUCCGCGUACGCUUUCCUAAAGAGAUACCGUGUGAUGCAGUCACAACUUUUCUUUCAAAAUAACGACCAGAACCCAAGCAACAAUGCGAGCCUCCAGUAAGCCAUGAAACUUCUCUCAGUAGCUGAGAGUCACCACCACUGCCUGACUCCCACAAAGGUUACAGUUCAUAGUGUAGCACUGGAGAAAGCAGGAAAGAUGACAUGCUGCUGCAGCACUACUGACUGUGAACACAUCCAGACUGCCUCCAGCACAAUGCCAGCAGUAGAACUUGAGACACCGAAGGCCACAUUCUCAGCUUCCGUAAAGCCUCAGCCCUAUCUCCUCUGGCCUGCAAAAGCCAAAAGGCACUAAAAAAAGUCAGGCAAGCAGUGUUUCCAAACACAUGCCAGACACCUGACUUUAAAACUAAUUAAAACUUCAAAUCAAAGAAGUCUGAGGCAUCCUGAUGCUUGAUCUUAACAUUUGUUCCU